rnacentral:rRNA from 1 species
UACGUAGGGUGCGAGCGUUAAUCGGAAUUACUGGGCGUAAAGCGUGCGCAGGCGGCGCGUUAAGACAGGUGUGAAAUCCCCGGGCUUAACCUGGGAACUGCACUUGUGACUGCACGGCUGGAGUACGGCAGAGGGGGAUGGAAUUCCGCGUGUAGCAGUGAAAUGCGUAGAUAUGCGGAGGAACACCGAUGGCGAAGGCAGUCCCCUGGGCCUGUACUGACGCUCAUGCACGAAAGCGUGGGGAGCAAACAGG